UGGGGAAUAUUGGACAAUGGGGGGAACCCUGAUCCAGCCAUGCCGCGUGUGUGAAGAAGGCCUUCUGGUUGUAAAGCACUUUAAGCGAGGAGGAGGCUCUCUUGGUUAAUACCCAAGAAGAGUGGACGUUACUCGCAGAAUAAGCACCGGCUAACUCUGUGCCAGCAGCCGCGGUAAUACAGAGGGUGCGAGCGUUAAUCGGAUUUACUGGGCGUAAAGCGUGCGUAGGCGGCUUUUUAAGUCGGAUGUGAAAUCCCCGAGCUUAACUUGGGAAUUGCAUUAGAUACUGGGAAGCUAGAGUAUGGGAGAGGAUGGUAGAAUUCCAGGUGUAGCGGUGAAAUGCGUAGAGAUCUGGAGGAAUAACGAUGGCGAAGGCAGCCAUCUGGCCUAAUACUGACGCUGAGGUACGAAAGCAUGGGGAGCAAACAGG
rnacentral:rRNA from 1 species